GCCUCCGUGGUAUAGUGGUAGAGCGUUGGACUAAAGAUCGGAGGUCCCGGGUUCGAAUCCCGGUGGGGACA